UGAAACUUAAGAGGUUCCUGCUCCGAUAUUAUCCUCCAGGUAUCAUCCUGGAGUAUGAGAAAGGAGGACAGCUGAGAACCAAGUCCAUAGACCUUCUGGAUUUAACUCCAAAAACAAACCCUAAUGAAGUGCUUGCAGAGAUCA